CCUACGGGAGGCAGCAGUGGGGAAUAUUGGGCAAUAGGCGCAAGCCUGACCCAGCAACGCCGCGUUAAGGAAGAAGGCUUUCGGGUUGUAAACUUCUUUUCUGAGGGACGAAGAAAGUGACGGUACCUCAGGAAUAAGCCACGGCUAACUACGUGCCAGAAGCCGCGGUAAUACGUAGGUGGCAAGCGUUAUCCGGAUUUAUUGGGUGUAAAGGGCGUGUAGGCGGGAAAGCAAGUCAGAUGUGAAAACGCAGGGCUCAACCCUGAGCCUACAUUUGAAACUGUUUUUCUUGAGUGCUGGAGAGGCAAUCGGAAGUCCGUGUGUAGCGGUGAAAUGCGUAGAUAUACGGAGGAACACCAGUGGCGAAGGCGGAUUGCUGGACAGUAACUGACGCUGAGGCGCGAAAGCGUGGGGAGCAAACAGGAUUAGAUACCCUGGUAGUC
rnacentral:rRNA from 1 species